rnacentral:rRNA from 1 species
AAAUGCGAUCACACCAACUCACAUGCACCGGAUCUCAUCAGAACUCCGAAUUUAACCGAGUUUGGGCGAGAGCAGUACUAGGAUGGAUGACCUCUUGGGAAGUCCUCGUGUUGCAUUCC